GUAAAGAGCGGCGGACGGGUGAGUAACGCGUGGGUAACCUACCCUGUACACACGGAUAACAUACCGAAAGGUAUGCUAAUACGGGAUAAUAUAUUUGAGAGGCAUCUCUUAAAUAUCAAAGGUGAGCCAGUACAGGAUGGACCCGCGUCUGAUUAGCUAGUUGGUAAGGUAACGGCUUACCAAGGCGACGAUCAGUAGCCGACCUG
rnacentral:rRNA from 1 species